GCCGGCGCGGGUGGAGGCCCAGGCGCAAUUUGGAGCCUCAGAGGUUACGCAGUCGCGCCCUCUCGGAGACCCUGGGCUCCAGGCCGCUCGGCUCCAGGAUCAUCACCGUUACGCGCCUGGAUGCUGCGGCGACGGGUCAGGUCUCAGGGCCGUGACAGGACUGAAGUGCCUUAGAAGACGGAUCUCGGCCCCUCCCGGACCAGUGCGGAGCAGCAGAUUGGCCUGUCCUGGACGUUCCUGGAAGUGGAAUCAUACAACACGUGGUCUUUUCCAACUGGCUCCUUUCUGUCGGCAUCAUGUCUUCAAGGAUCAUGUGUAUUGUGGCAGGUGUCAGAGCCUUGCUCCUUCAUACGGCUGAUGGACGUCCCGCUGCCCGGAUGGACCACCUUCCGUGAUCCAGUCGUCUGUUGAGCGACACCGGUUUGUUCCCGGCGUUUGGUCACUGGGAAUCACGCUGCUGGGAACGUUCACACACAAGUUUUCGUGUGAACACGUUUCCUUUCUCUUGGGCAUGUAUCUGGCACGGGAAUUGUUGGGUCACACGGCAACUCCAUGUUUAGCCUUUCAGGAAGAAUCUUUUUGAAGGUUGAA